rnacentral:rRNA from 1 species
AACGAACGCUGGCGGCGUGGAUAAGACAUGCAAGUCGAACGAGAAACUUUUGGAGCUUGCUUUGAAAGUUUCUAGUGGCGGACGGGUGAGUAACACGUGAGCAACCUGCCCUAAAGUGGGGGAUAGCCCGAGGAAACUCGGAUUAAUACCCCAUGUGGUUUUACAACUAAAGGCGCUUCGGUGCCGCUUUAGGAUGGGCUCGCGGCCUAUCAGCUUGUUGGUGAGGUAAUGGCUCACCAAGGCGACGACGGGUAGCUGGUCUGAGAGGACGAUCAGUCACACUGGAACUGAGACACGGUCCAGACACCUACGGGUGGCAGCAGUCGAGAAUCAUUCGCAAUGGACGAAAGUCUGACGGUGCGACGCCGCGUGGAGGAUGAAGGCCCUUGGGUCGUAAACUCCUGUCAUCAGGGAGUAAAGCAUUACUCAAGUAACGGGGUAAUGCCUGAUAGUACCUGAAGAGGAAGAGACGGCUAACUCUG